rnacentral:lncRNA from 1 species
GUUGUCUUCCUGUGUCUGAUAGGAUCCAGGACCCUGUGCUGGGAUGCAGCAACCCAUGUGAGGCUUCGGGUUCCCUGGGAAUUAUUCUGUCAGUGAGCACUACCACAGCAUGCACUAGCAAAAACCCAAGCACACUUACUGCAAUCCUUGAUGUCUAAAACCAGCAGAAAAAAUGGCUACUUUCCCUUUGUCUUGUUUUUGAAGGCCUUUCAUUACUGGGAUGCACUGAAAAUGUAUCAAUUACUAUUUUAGUUUUCUUGUGUAGCUCUGCUCCCUCCAGCAGAAUAAUGCUGAUUUACAGUAGGUGAGAGUCUAGCAUUUAGAUAUUUGAACAGAUAAAAUCAUUUGCCUUUUGAAUACUUUGGCUUUCAAUCUCUGACAGAUUUAGCUACAGCAGAGAAAUGCUACUGCUGCCUGUUUUGCUCACUCCUCUCCAGAGAUUUCUGCCUCGACCACGGUGGUUAAAAAACUGGGAAGAAGCUUCUUGGCCCCUGCAGCUUAGUCUCUGCCGUUGUAGUUUCAGCCAGCUCCGUUCUCAAGUGUGUACUAUCAUCAUCCAGAGGAAGUCCUCCUUAAUCUCCGCUUGUCUUGAAUGA